GUGCUCACUUCAGCAAUACAUACACUAAAACUGAAAUGAUACAGAGAUGAUUAGCAUGGCUCCUGUGCAAGGAUGAUAUGCAAAUUUGUAAAGCAUUCCAUAUUUGA
rnacentral:snRNA from 2 species